CAUUACAAGACGCCUUUCUGAAUCAUGGUAGGAACAAGGCGAUCCGCAAGAUGUAACAGAUUAUUAUAGCAUGCUUGCCCGUUGCCGAUUGGCUGGCAACGGCAGUUCAUACAAGUUGAGCGCUGUUUGAUUUAGAUCAGGUCGUGGAAGGUGAAGCCGAGGAUUGGCAAGAGGCAGAUUUUUUUUAUUUUUUUAUCCCCUAUUCUUUUUCCUUCAAGGUGGGAGACUUGAAAGGGACGGGAGGCAGUCAGCUUUAAAACUUGUUAUACAUCUGUUUUGCCGGCUAGUCGUCGAAGAUAUUUCAUCAGUUGUGGUUUCUGGAACCCUGCCACGUCAAAAAAUAGCUAGCUGCUAAGCUAACGAAGCUAAGCUAGUCGCGGUCCAAAGCAACUACGCUCCGAAGGCUGCUCCCUCACACUGCUGCUCCUGCUCCGAAGACAGCAAGAACUCGACUCAGUGAAAGAAACAACGUGACCACGGAUCAUCCGGCACUAGCUAUUCCAAGUCGGGACCCGGGAUGGACCACUCUUCUUUGCAUUUGGUGACGUCUCUUCGCUGCUGACUUGUGUCCACUCAAUAUGAUCCCCUGCUGGCCUCCCAAUGGACUGGACUUUCACAUGAAGUCCGGACCCGGGGUGGACCACUCCUUAUGCAUCAGUCGGUGACGUCUCUGUGCCCUGACGUGUUUACAUGCAAGAGGAUUCCCUGCUGGCCCCACUAUGGACUGGACUCUCACAUUAUUAACCGUAUCGACUCGGCAUCCAUUGCACUGAUCACUUGGGUGGAUGAGGAGUCCCCACACCUGCGGUCCCUCCCAAGGUUCUCGUUGUUCCCAUUGGGUUGAGUUUUUUCUGGGUGGUAGCUGAGCCGAGGAUGUCUUUGUGACUGCCCUUUGAGACAUCUGUGAUUAAGGGCUAUAUAAGUAAACUUUGAUUGAUUGCUUGAUAAUCAGGAGGCUAAAAGCCAGUGCUACUAACCCAGUGGCUAGCCCACUCUUUGAAGUUGUCAAGGAGUGAGGUUUACCAAUGUAUACAUGGCCCGGCCACUAUGGCUUGCCUCCGUUACACACACCCGGUCCCUUUUCCUGAGCAGUAUCUAAACUAAAGUAUUGGUAUACAUUUGUCAUUUCCUGAUUAAAAUAGUGUUGGUUAAGGAGAUAUGUUCUUCUGUGAGUUUCAGAAUCUGAAUUUUUGUUUCUGCUGGCCAUCUGUUCCAGUUUCUCAAUAGCUUUCAAUUGAUUUAAAGAGUAAACAAAAUAAUGUAUGUAUUACGAGUCAGUUAUUUAUUCACGCUCCUGGGUGCUGACUUAAUUGGGAAGCUAAUGUAUAUGUUGUAUUUAAACUCAUUAUUUUCUGAUCAUAGUGUUGUUGCAAUUUUUCUAGUGUGAGUCUCAGAAUUAUUGUUACGGGCACCGGAUCAUGAUCUGUUUAGUUUUGGACUCCCUCAGUUCCUGUCUUGAGCACCCCUGACUUUGUGUUUUGGUUGCAAUGGGUGCAGACUGGUUUCACCUGCCUCUGAUUAGUGUUCGGCAAGCUCACCUGCUGCCGGGCACUAAUCAGAGAGCUACUUAUUCCCACUGUUCGCCACACUCGGUCUGGCUUCUUUGUUUGCUGUAUGCAACAGGGGGGUUUAUUUCUUGUUUCCUGGCUCAUGAUUCCUGUGCUAAAUUUUUGUCUUAGCUCCCCGUGCGAUCGACACGCAUCUCUUUUGUUUGUUUCCUGUAUUUUCGUAUUUUGUAUGAUUUAUGAGGAAUAAAUCAUAUUCUUACCUUCUUGUCCUUGCCGGAUACCAGCAGGGCCGAGUCAUCCGCAAACAAGAACAAUUCACAGUCGCAUGCUGAUGACAUGUCAUUUAUGUAUAUUAGGAACAGUAAAGGCCCUAAUAUACUGCCUUGGGGGACUCCAUAGCUUACUGAGAGGGGGGGACACAGUGCCGUUCACCUCUACCAACUGUUCCCUCCCCUCCAAGUAAGAUUGCAUCCAGCUCGAUGAGGUUUUAUCAAAUCCGAUUGCUCUGAGCUUAUCCAACAGUAUAGCGUGGUUAGCGGUAACACUCAUCAGUUAAUCUCUACUCAUAGUCGCACACCACACAUAUUUUGGAUUAGCUAAACACUUCAUUUUCCCUUGUUUAUUAAUAAAUAUAGAGCUAAAACGACAUCCUUGCUGUCCGUGCCGUCUUCUUCCCUUGUAACCGUAACACCCUAUGUAAGACAAAUGUAA